CGCUGCACAAAUUUCUUCAAUGAUGUAUAAUAACUAAGUAGUAGGCGUUAUCAUGAAGCCUUCGACCAUGAAAUUCAGAGUAAAAGUUAAAAUUUCUGAACGCAACGGCCACGUUCCCGCGAACAGAACUGUCAACUUCAUUGUGUUUAUUCAUGUAAGCCGACGACCAUUAGGGCAUAAUAAAAUAAAACGUUUUUAACUGAAAAUAACAGUAAACAUUUUAUAAGAAUGCGAAAAAAUAAAGAAAAUAGUGUUAACAGUGACGAAUUGCAAAAUUGGAGGGAAAAAACCAGAAGAUCGGAGAAGAAAAUGCAACUUUCGCGAUCAAGGUCAAUUGCGGCGUCCUUUCCUCGAUAGCAUAGCUACACGGACGUGAUAAAUAUCAAGAUAAAAAUGUAGCAGACCAUGGAUGUACCUACAUUAAUAGUGCCAGCGAACGAAUGUUUAAUGCAUACAUCACUAAAAUUCCGAAAAGGAACAUAAACGUCGGCAAGUGAAGAAUGAAGCGAGUUAAUUUUGACCUUGUUGGAAGGAGGCACCGCGCCAGAAGGUUGAAUAUGGGAAUAAUCCUUCUAGGACAAUCUUGUUGUUUGCUUGCAGAUAUAUAAUUACGAACAUUACAAAACAACAAUGACCCGGACAAGAUUAUGAAAAAAUACUCUGCCUUGUUAAAUUACUGGUGCUCUGAAGAUGAACCCAGAGACUCAAGCUGCGGCUGGUGAGACGUUUGUCAGUUGGGAACAAGGCUAGGUAUUGAAAUGAAACAAAAUAAAGUUUCCUGUGACCUGUUCCCUCACUGUGAUGAUUUAGCACUCAAUAAUUUGUCUGCUGUAACCAGCUAUGAAAAAGUAAUGUCACUCUUAAGUGACCACUGGUUUUUUGUGUGAUUAUUAUCACUGAGAAUCUUACCUACGGCAGCUGUUCAAUUAUUAAAUCACAAUCAAUGGCAUAAGAGGUUUUUAAAUCAUUUACUUAAACAUGCUGUUGACAAGUGGUGUUUUAAGAAAGUUUAGCAGAAGUACUAAUGACUUAUAAAUUAAUGUAAGUCCUAAAGCCCGGUACUUUAAACUUUGAGGGCUCAACUAUCAAUAAUUUUUUUAAUGUAUGUUUUGCUGUUGCUUUUCUUUGUUAUCAUAUAAUAAAGUAUUUAUUACUUAUUUACUAACAACAUACAAAAACCCUGGUCAAAAGCAGCAAUAAGGAAGCGGAGCAACACUUUCCCCUCUGCGUCACAAUGUGGUCGCACUCAGCGACACCACAACAGCCUGUGUUCAUUUAGAACAAAUUUUUGAAGGUUGUGGUUAACUUAAAUACACUUUUUUUUCAGUGCAAUGACAUCAUAUUUACAAGGACCCAAGGAUUUUGUCCUGGUUAAUCAUACAAAAUUCCCUUGUGAUCUGUGCCAAUACCUACAUUAAUUCUGAAAAAUUAUUACUAUUGAGCAAUCGACAGUCAAUACUAGGAAGUUAUGUGACUGUGAUAUAUACUGUGUGUACAAAAUAUAUGCCUAUGAUGUUCUUACACAAGAAUAUACACUUUACACAGCUUAAUAUUCAACUAAAAUAUUUUAUGUACAAAACCCUAAGGGAAGUAAAUACAGUUAUAUUUUUAAUAUAAGUAAAUUGAUUGCAACUAAGCAGUUUAAGUUAACAAAGCAUUGGAAUUGCCAUGAAACUAAUUGUUGCAUGAACACUUUUUACUUGAUUUUAUGAGUGUAGAAAAUAUCUCUGAUUCAUGUGGAAAGCUGAGAUAACAGUUUUAAGUCCUGUCAUUAGACUAUUUGACUAUAUGUCUCUCUAGCUAUGUGUCAGACCUUUCAUGAAGUGUCCAAGAUCUAGAGGUCACACAAUGAGCAGCUGUUUAGAUGUUAUAUCUAUUGUCCUUAUGAUAAAUGUUUUUUAGACUAUACAAGAUGCACUCUAUUAUUCUUGAUACCAUAUGGAGCUAGGUAUAAUCAAAUUAAACUAGCUCCUUAGUACCUUGGAAAGCUGUCUAAUAUCUGGAUUUAUUUCUUUACCCAAUAAGAAAUAAUGUCAAUAUAUCACCUAGUGUGACUUAUUUUGGUGGCUAAUUGAAAGUAAAGGGUUAUAAAUAUACUUUUUGAAGAUACCUAUUUAUUUACUAUACAGUAAUAGUUUAUUGACCUGCUGGGGCAACCGUGUGGAAAUGAGUUAUCUGUGGGAUUAUGGAAGGAGCCUAUUAAUAGAAUACAUUACAUUAAUUUUAUUCAGCUUAAUGGUGGUCUUUAUAUUUAAAGACGUUUCUUUCCGAUUUACCAGACUGUGACAUACUUCUGAGAAAAUACAACACAGCUAUCUCAAUUAUAAACCGCUUUGGUGAACUGAAAUACUACUGUACAGUAUUUUUACCUCAAAACAAUGUUGAGGAACAAUUGGCAUUGGUGUGAAACGAGACAUUACAAUAUUAGUCUUAAAUAUUAUAGGUGAACUGUGUCAUAGCUGAUUGAGAGAUAACUAUAUAAGAUUUCGGAGAUUAAACGUAAAUUAAACAAUGAAUAUUUAGAAAUUUCCUGCAUCAUUUUGGAACUCAUAUACCGAGUUAUUGGAGUCGCGCAGAUGAAAUAUGUGAACGCUAUAUAUAUCCUGGUGUAGUAACCCAGAUAUUUUUUCUACAUAUGUAGAUGCUUGCAGAUUUUCUUUGAUGAAUUAUUUUAUCUAUGCUUUCCUUCCAUUCGAAAUGAAAUUUAAGGUACCUAUUAAAGUUUUAGGUAAAGCAGAAGACAUGGCAAUAACCAUAUUGUACACAGUUUUUACAAAUACAUGUUACAUACAAUUGUAUAGACUUGAGCCCCAGCUCACAUUUAUAAAAACUUAUUCCAUUAACCGGCAGUUUCAGUAGUGUCCUUGCCUGGUUACCCCGGUAUUAUCCGGGAAGUUCCAUCACUGAAGGAGCGGAAAAGAGAAGGGGAAAGGAGGAACUUUCGAUUGGUGCGGCCAACAGCAUGGUGGGGUGGAGUCUCUUAUGCCCAACACCGUCAAGCAGUAUCGUAAACACUUGAAACACUGGUGUAUGUUUUGUGGAAAUAAUUACAUUAAUGAUCUUAUCGCAUCUGUUCUAGCAAUGUUUGCCAUUCUGAUAGCAUUAUGUGAUGAGGGAUCGAGGUAUGGAAGUGUCCAUUUUUCUAAAUCUGCUCAUGUGCUUUUAUUGGGAUAUAGACGACUCCUCAAAUGAUGAGUGAAACGCUUUAUGAAGAACGUUUUGUUUCGAUUACACCCACCUCAACCUUAAAGUGUGACCUGGGACCCUUAAUCAGUCUCAAAUUAUUUAUCAACAAUGCCACCAAUGAAAAUCUUUCAUUACAGAAUUAAGAGAAAGUUAUGAAAUUGCUUAGGUACUUACCUUAUUUGCUAUUGUUACUGCACGCAGCGUGCAAACCCUGUCCUUGAUAAAAUAUGUAAUUUUUACUAUUAUUCUGAUUUUCUGAUAAAGUCCUUACAAAAAUUUCAGCUACCUUUGCUAUCCGUAGCAUUUUUCAAGGAAAAACUAAUUUGAAAUGGAAUGAGGCUUGCUCAGGGCGAAUAUAUUUUAGCUAUAUAUAAAAAUAACGAAUGGUAUUCGUGAUGGUAGUUGUUAGUAAUUAUUUAUUGCCCUCAAAAACCUCAUAUGAUCAUCACUUCCCAAACGAUUUGUUCUUGAUUAAGUCAACUUUUAAAGAUAGUGGUAUUGAUAUUUUUGUUUUCACCACCCAUUCAACCUAUUAUGCGUUGGUUUCAGCCAAAAUCAUUUAGGAGUAAUAUUGAUGGAAAGAAAAACAUCAAGUCCGAGUCUAAUGAUUUUGCUCAUUUCAUAAUAAGGCCAUAGUGCCAUCCAAUGAUUGUGCUUGAUCCUUAGUUAAGGAGAAAAUAAGUAUUACUAAAGGUUGUAAGUAGCAACACACCGUUCUGUUAAAUGGUAUUAAUGAAAUACCUAUUAAUAAGGAACAAUUCAUUUUUUGUUUCAACUAUUGUUGAGGAUGCCUAAGCAGGUCUUCAAGGAAGACUUCUUAUUAAAACUUUUGUACUUGUAUUUAUUUAUAUAAUAAAUAAAUAAGGAUCAAAUUACAGUACAA